rnacentral:lncRNA from 1 species
AUGGGAUCCUUUAGUCGAUCCUACCACAGAUGGGGCAGAGGGGCCCUCGGGCAGAUGGGGGUAGCCCCUGGGGGAUGGUGGCUUUGCCAGAGAUGGGACAGUCCUGGUGCAGGGAGCGGAGGGCCCGGGGCCAGAGCCAGCUUCUCUUCUCAGCCCAGCCCCAGAGUGCAGAGCCCACAGGGUGCCGGUGUGGGGUGGGUGCCUCAGAUCGAAGGGGCUGGGGAAAGGCAAAAGCAAUGCUCGGGGGCCAGUCUCAGUGCCUUGACAAGAACCAGUUUAUUUGGAGUCUGUGGCCAGGUGAAGCUGUCUUCCCAGGACAAGCUGCUGGGGACGGCGUGGUGCUGGUGGGGAGGGGGCUCCUGGCUGGCUGGGAGCUGGGGGUGGCUGCCCCACCUUCCCUGCCACUCUGUGUCCUCCCUGACCCUGGGAGGCCCCUUCUCUGGGCCGGUGCCUGCCUGGGCCUCUUGCCCCCAGCUCUUCACAGGUUCCCAUGUUGUCCCCGCCCCCGAUGGGUCUGGCCCAGCACCUGCUCCACAACCUCAUCUGCAGCGUUCUGGGCCCAGCAGGGCUGGGGUCCAGUUCAGAGGCUGGGAGGUGUUGGACAGUGGACAGGGGUGGUUGGGAGUGCCCUGUGUGCCUGGGAGGGUCCGUGGCCACUGCCUGCCUCAGUCCCACUCUGCUGGGUCAGGGUCUGCAGGGGUGUGGUGGUCUGAGCCUCUGCUUGGCAGCCUCUCUCCCACCAGUGCCUCAGAUGAGCCACGGCCGAGGGCUGUUGGGGGCCAGGGCUGCGUACCAGGAACGCAGCUGCCGGCACGAGCAGGAAGGGGCUGGUGGGAGGGGUUGUCCUUCUCUGUCAUCUGCAGCCCUUCACUCCCAGGAGACCAGGCAGCGACCCCGCUAGUGUCCACAGCUCACAGAGCUGCACACGCAACGGCUAAACACCUGCAGGAUGAGCACGAGCCGCCGGCCAGGCGCACUGGGGUCUGGGCAGGGCAGCUCGAGCUGCUGCUCGUGGGAAUGGAGCGGGCGGCAGCAGCUGCAGCGGGCAUCCAGCUGCUGGGUGUCAAUGUUGAAGCUGCCGAGAAGCCAAGACAGAGCAGGGGCUGUGGCUGCUGCAGGGCGUGGUGCGCCUGGAAGGCCCUCCCUCCCCAGGCCGGCUGCUCCAGGAGGCCUGGGCCUCCUGCUGACCUGGUCCCAGGGCCAGGGCAGGCAGUGGGCAGCUGA